GGGGCUGCACGUUUGUUAAAUUAUAACGCGGGUGUCUAAG
rnacentral:rRNA from 1 species